AUACGGAGGAUCCGAGCGUUAUCCGGAUUUAUUGGGUUUAAAGGGUGCGCAGGCGGGAGAUUAAGUCGGCGGUGAAAUUUUGCAGAUCAAAUGUAAAAGUGCCUUCGAAACUGGUUUCCUUGAGUGUAGAUGAAGUAGGCGGAAUUUGUGGUGUAGCGGUGAAAUGCAUAGAUAUCACGAGGAACUCCGAUUGCGCAGGCAGCUUACUAAACUACUACUGACGCUCAGGCACGAAGGCGUGGGGAUCAAACAGGAUUAGAUACCCUGGUAGUCCACGCAGUAAACGAUGAUUACUCGCUGUUUGCGAUACAAUGUAAGCGGCUAAGCGAAAGCAUUAAGUAAUCCACCUGGGGAGUACGUUCGCAAGAAUGAAACUCAAAUGAAUUGGCGGGG
rnacentral:rRNA from 1 species